rnacentral:rRNA from 1 species
ACUCAAAGGAAUUGACGGGGACCCGCACAAGCGGUGGAGCAUGUUGUUUAAUUCGAAGCAACGCGAAGAACCUUACCUACCCUUGACAUGUCCAGUAUGGGGCCGAGAGAUUGGCUCCUUCAGUUCGGCUGGCUGGAACACAGGUGCUGCAUGGCUGUCGUCAGCUCGUGUCGUGAGAUGUUGGGUUAAGUCCCGCAACGAGCGCAACCCUCAUUGUCUGUUGCCAUCAGGUCAAGCUGGGCACUCUGACAAGACUGCCGGUGACAAGCCGGAGGAAGGCGGGGUCGAAGUCAAGUCAUCAUGGCCCGUACGGGUAGGGCCACAAACGUGCUACAAUGGCGGUGACAGUGGGCCGCGAGGCAGUGAUGCCAAGCGAAUCCCAAAAAGCCGUCUCAGUUCAGAUUGUAGUCUGCAACUCGACUACAUGAAGCUGGAAUCGCUAGUAAUCGUGGAUCAGCACGCCACGGUGAAUACGUUCCCGGGUCUUGUACACACCGCCCGU